UACGAGGGGGGCGAGCGUUGUUCGGAAUUAUUGGGCGUAAAGGGCGCGUAGGCGGUCGGAUAAGUCUUGUGUGAAAUCUUCGGGCUCAACUCGAAGUCUGCACAGGAAACUAUCUGGCUUGAGUGUGGGAGAGGUGAGUGGAAUUCCUGGUGUAGCGGUGAAAUGCGUAGAUAUCAGGAGGAACACCUGUGGCGAAAGCGGCUCACUGGACCACAACUGACGCUGAGGCGCGAAAGCUAGGGGAGCAAACAGG
rnacentral:ncRNA from 3 species